GUGGGGAAUAUUGGACAAUGGGGGCAACCCUGAUCCAGCAAUGCCGCGUGAGUGAAGAAGGCCUUAGGGUUGUAAAGCUCUUUCGCCCGUGACGAUGAUGACGGUAACGGGAGAAGAAGCCCCGGCUAAUUCCGUGCCAGCAGCCGCGGUAAUACGGAAGGGGCUAGCGUUGUUCGGAUUUACUGGGCGUAAAGCGCAUGUAGGCGGCGGAUCAAGUGAGGCGUGAAAGGCCUGGGCUCAACCUGGGAACGGCGCUUCAGACUGGUUUGCUGGAGUUCGGGAGAGGGUGGUGGAAUUCCCAGUGUAGAGGUGAAAUUCGUAGAUAUUGGGAGGAACACCGGUGGCGAAGGCGGCCACCUGGCCCGAGACUGACGCUCAAGUGCGAAAGCGUGGGGAGCAAACAGGAUUAGAUACCCUAGUAGUCC
rnacentral:rRNA from 1 species